GGAGUUUGGGCCGUGUCUCAGUCCCAAUGUGGCCGGUCAUCCUCUCAGAUCGGCUACCAAUCGUCGCCUUGGUGGGCCGUUACCUCACCAACUAGCUAAUUGGACGCGGGUCCAUCCUGUACCACCGGAGUUUUUACCCCUGUGCCAUGCGGCACUGUGGUCUUAUGCGGUAUUAACAGUCGUUUCCAACUGUUAUCCCCCUGUACAGGGCAGGUUACCCACGCGUUACUCACCCGUCCGCCACUAAGUCAAAAAGCAAGCUUUCUGACUCCGUUCGACUUGCAUGUGUUAGGCACGCCGCCAGCGUUCGUC
rnacentral:rRNA from 1 species